AGACACUAUCAAAUAUGAUUGGACAAUAAUAAGAGCGGUCUUUUUAAUGUUAACCAAUCAGAAGCCAAACAAGAUAUUUGUAAAGAUAUCGCGAUUGCCGCCCAGUUUCUUCCGACUCCUCAGCGACAAGAACGUUUAAGACAAAUCUUUAGAGGAAUAUCGAUUAGGUUUAGGUGGUGCUGGUAAUGUGGAGUUGUAAGGGGUGCUCAGAAAAAGUGUCAAGUAGGUCCAAGCUUUUGCAUCACUACAAAUUAAAACAUCCACAUUUUGGACGUCAUUGCCACUUCCCAUGUACAUACCUGCAUUGUCCAUGCAGAGAGAUAAAUGCUGAGUUUAAGAGAAUUACGACCAUACCGCUUCAUUCAAAGUUCUUCUCUCAACUGGAUCUCCACUGUGACAACCUGAGGAAGCUCUUCAAAAGAAGAGGAGGACAGCUCGGACAAAAGCUUAGACAAAUUGUUGCACAAAUAGAUGAUGUAAGUGAUGUAGCCAUAACACAACUAAUAAUAUAGAAAAUUACAUUUUUCUUGUUUUAAAUGUUGUCAACUUGGACUUUUACUCUUGCUUAUUUUCAUUUAAAACUUUACUUUUAACUUUAUUAGUUUCUAUCUCUUCACCAUAAAAAACAUUUGGGUAAAG